rnacentral:lncRNA from 1 species
GGGGUGCGGCGACAUGGUUGGAGGUCCAGCAUCAGCAGCCGAUGGUGGGCAGCAGUGGGUGGCCGGCGGCAAGGGUCCAAUGGUGGAGAAAAUUAAGGAAAAAAAAUCAAAAAAAUAGAGAUUUCUCUUUGAGAUUGAUCUCUAGCAAAAUCAGUGGCCGGCGACGGCAUCAAACACCAUGAGAAGAAGAGAAAUAGAGAGAGGAA